GUGAGCGCCGAAGGAUGGUUCUUUUAGUGACGCCGCCCGCGGGAGAAUUCGAACCGGAUGGCGAGAGAGCGCGCGCGCUAAACUGAAAAGAUGGAUUCUUUGUUACUCUUGUGAAUUAUAAAAUAAUACAACAUGACAAAACGCGAGGCUUUUCUAAAAGCUGUACUUAAUGGUGCCACUGAUGAGUUCUUGCAUUACAUCCAGCUUCAUAAAGCUGUAGCUGAUCCAUUUGACCUGAAUGAGCUGCUUCAAGAAUUAUCAAGGAAACAGAAAGAAGCAUUAUGGGAGUCAUUAAAGCAAAUGUUAGCUCACGUUUUGGUGGAAGAUCCAGUAGAAGAAUGGCAGAGAGCUGGUGAAGACCGUGACGAUGACAUGGAAACUGAAAGGGCCUCUAAAAAGGAACAAACCACAGCUGUGAUUCAAGGUGUGACAACUGUAGUUACUACUUCCAUACCCAUAGUAGAUGAAAAUAUAAACUCCAACGCUCUUUUAGAAUGUGCUCUGAUAUUAAAUGGCAUUCUUUAUGCUUUACCUGACACUGAAAAGCCUUUGUUGGGAGCCAUCCAGAGCCUGUGUGAACAGUGGUGGACAAAGGGACUUGAAGGAAAAGAACCAUUUGGGAAAACUGCUUUCAUCCUGUUUCUGAAAAACAGCCUUGAGAAGAAAACUGUUAUGGGAGCAGAUGUAAUCCGUCUGUGGCAUCUUCAUCGUGCUUUAUUGUGUUUUGAUUACGAUUCAGAGGAGAGUAACAAAGUGAAGGAUUUGUUACUUCAGUGCUUUAUGAGUGUUGGCCAUAUUAAAAAAGAAGAGGGAAGAAGAUUCCUGAGUUUUCUUUUCACAUGGAAUGUAAACUUUAUUAAACUGAUACAUGGGACUGUGAAAAAUCAAUUGCAGUGUUUCCCUAGGUCCUUGAUGACACAUAUUGCUGAAAUUUAUUUUCGAGCAUGGAAGAAAGCUUCAGGGGAGAUACUGGAGGUAAUUGAACAUAGCUGCAUUCAGGAUUUCAUGCAUCAUGCAAUUCAUCUCCCCAGGAAGUCUCCAUUGCACCCCAAAGUGCGAGAGUUGCUGAGCUAUUUCCACAAACAAAAUAAAUGCCGUCAAGGAGUUGAGGAAGUUCUCUACAGACUUUAUCAGCCUCUUCUUUGGAGAGCACUAAAGGCCAGAAACUCAGAAGUUCGAUCAAAUGCGGCAUUACUGUUUGUUGAUGCAUUUCCUAUUUUGGAUCCUGGUUUGAAUAGAGAAGAUACUGAUAACGAAAUCCAAAGGCAAUUUGAUGAACUUUUCAGUCUCUUGGAGGAUCCUCAGCCUCUCGUCCGUUCAACUGGCGUGCUUGGCGUUAGUAAAAUAGCAUUCAAAUAUUGGGAAAUGAUUCCUGCAAGUGUGCUUACUGAUCUCUUGAAAUCUCUAAUUGAAGAUCUUGCGUGUGAUGCAACAUCAGCUGAUGUUCGAUGCUCUGUUUUUAAGUGCUUGCCUAUAAUUUUGGACAACGUACUAAGCCACCCAUUAUUGGAACAGCUCCUGCCAGCUCUGAAAUACAAUCUCCAUGACAAUUCAGAGAAAGUUAGAGUGGCUUUUGUUGAUAUGUUGCUGAAAAUUAAGUCUGUCAAGGCUGCUAAGUUUUGGAAAAUUUGUCCUAUAGAGCAUCUCUUAACCCGCCUUGAGAUUGAUUCACGGCCUGUGGCACGGCGCAUAGUAAAUCUUCUGUUCAGCUCUUUCUUGCCUGUCGAUCAGCCAGAAGAAGUGUGGUGUGAGCGCUGUGUUACGCUAAUCCAAAUGAAUCCAUCUGCAGCUAGAAAGUUCUAUCAGUUUGCGUAUGAGUACACUAGCCCAACCAACAUAGCUAAACUGAUGCUUACCAUUCAGAGCUGUUUGAAUGCCUGUAUCCAGCAGGGAUUAAAGACUUCUGACAGUGGUGAUGAAGACAGUGAAAAAGAAAACAUGAGUGUUUCAAAUGAUGUAUUAUCUGUCAAUGAUGUACCUUCUAUGGCCAGCUUGCUUGAAGUUAUUGUGAUCCUCUGGAGAAGUAUUCAUAAAGCACUUGAUCGUAACGAAGGAGCAAAAAAUCAUAUUGUCCAAAAAUUUGCUUCUGUACUACCUGACUAUUUAAAAAUAUUUAAGGAUGAUCGUUGUGUAUCUCCAAUAAUAAUUCUGGCAUCUUUCAUGCCACCUGCAACUAUUCCUACAUUCAGUUGUGGUGUGAUCUCUAAACUAAAGAAGCUGGAAAAUGGUGCAACUGAAAAUAAAUACUCUACUCUGCUUGACUGUUUGUGCCGCUGGGGAAAAGUAGGACACGUUCUUGAGUUAAUCUGUGACUGGAUAGCUGCAGAACCAAACAACAGAGAGAGUAAUGGGGUGUCUGAACGGCGAGUACGUAUCCAAGAAACGCAUGAAUCAAAACCAGAAUUGGCUCUUGAUUAUAUAGAAUACUUACUGACUCAUUACAUGAAUCGGGAUUGUCUGUUGUCGCUACCCAAAGAGAAAUUGAGCCAACUUUUGAAAGUUCUCGAAGCCGCAAAGAACAGUCUAGAAUCUUACCUUAGAGAAACUGAUACAAGGUCUCCUGGCUUUUACCAAGCAACUGCACUGAGAGCCUUUGGUCUGUACUGUAGAUUAAACAUACAUCUUCAAUACAAGUUUGCCUCUGACAAUCAAGAUUACCUGUCAGCUUUGGAGGAAACAGGGGUGUGGAUAGAAAAUAGUAUUCUACCUGCUCUUUUAACAGAUGAAGAAGGCAGUUCAGAUCACUCCAGUGAAAUCUCUCAGCUGGUUGUCCAGACUUAUCUGACAGUGUGCAAAGAUUUUAUUGCUGUUGGUCUUGGUGAUUCAGAGUUUCAAGCACGCAUUCUGACCAUGGGGGCUGUGAUUAUACAUGGAGGCAGAGGCUGUGUUUUCAUCCCGGUGUUACUUGGCAUCUUGAGAGAGAUGGUUGAAGCUUCAUUAGCCCUUAACACUGACAGCGACCAUUUUAUGGAACUUCUUGACAAUAUUCAGAAGAUGUUCCAGAAGAUUCUAGAGUGUAUGGCCCUCCAGCUCAGAAGACAGCAAGAAAAGGGAAUUCGGUUAAUUCAGUCUGUGCAAGAGCCUCUUGGAGAAUUCAUACAUAUAGUCCAGUCUUGUAGUAUGACCUGUUCAGCUGUUUACCAUGGGGUCCUUUCUUCCUUAUUAGCUGCAGCAGUAGUUGAGACAGGUUACAUCCUGCAACGUAAGGCAUCAAAUCCAGAAGACUUGACUCCACCAAAGACUCUGUCAGACCUUCCUCCACUGUCAAAUGCUUUAAUGACAGUAGUGAAUAAAUCAGUAAAUGUGGUCAAAUCUUUUGUAAACGAGUUGAUGGAAUCCAUUGAAUCUGAAGAAAUUGAAGGAAUUAUUAGUCUUACUGCAACUGUUUACAUUGUUGCUGUAAUUAAAGACUCUUGGACAUCUCAUCAAAACUGAAUAAAAACUAGUCAUAGAACCAGUGAUUGUUUAAAGAACCAGAACUGGACGUAAACAAGGGGUGGAGAGGAAAAGAGUGAGAGAAAUACUGUGACCUGCUCCCCUCAAAUGGGUUGUGUUGGGGAAGAGACAUUUAACUUGUUAUAAAAGAUCUGCAGGGAGCAGGUAAGAAUAAACCUUCAUAUGUGAAAGAUAUUGCAUCUGCCCUUCAAAGGAAGCUAACUUCAUACAGUGAGAUUACAAAGGAAGACAUUGGCAGUGUGCAAAGAAUCCUGUAUGAAACUGC